rnacentral:lncRNA from 1 species
GGGCACAUGGCCAAGAGAAGGGGUCCCUUCCCCAGCUUCAGAAUUUUCAUUUCUCCAAUUUCUUUCCUCUCUCAAGAAACCUUGCCCUAACUUAAGCUCUCACUUCUCUCUAGAUUUCCAGCAUAUUCCACCGUUAGAGUUGUGAUUUGAUUGCAUAUUAUUGCUCCUGGAGUCAAGGGCUACGAAACCAUCCGAUUGGUUUCUCGUUUCGUUGGGUAAGAAAAUUUCUCCUAUUCUUCUUUUCUGUUCUUGAACUAGAGCAACCAAUUUUUCUGGUUGCAUGUAUUUUCCACAUUUUUCUUUUUCUUUCCAUUAUAUUCCAGCUCUAAAAAGUUUGUCCUAUCACCAAAUUGGUGAUUUCUAGGUUCUGUUCAUUUUCGAACGUUGUAAGAGGGUACUGUAGAGCAUCUGUGAACUACAUUAAGCAUCCCACCAGGUAAGGGGAGUUAGUUAUAUUUCUUUGAAUUGUUUAUAUGUUAUGUAUGUAUGGUGAAUUUAAUUUGGUGUGCUGUUUUGGAAUUUCAUGUUAAGUUUUAUGAGAUAUUGGGGAAGAGAGAAGGGGUCCUGGAGUUUCAAGGUGGUCACUAUUACAAAUUUUUCUUUUGCUUAGGUUAGAUAAGAGGAAAAAGGGUGUGAUUGCGCAUGGAAAACAAAAUACACAUUAUUACCGUAAUGCGCUAUUGUGUGUGAAUGAACAUUGUGCUGAGAGGGAUAAAUGCAAUUAAAUAGAGAAAAUAUGGGUGCAGUGGAAUAUGUAUAAAUGAAAGAAAAGAGAAGAGAGCAAUAAAGUUUUAUGAGUGUAGUUUAGGUGUUAAGCAUGGAAGCGUGUACAGGGGUAGUUGUAGAGGUAGGGGAACUAAUUGUUGUAUAUGAGUGGGUCCGUGAAAAGAGAUAGUAGGAAGGGGUAUAGGUAGGUUUAUUAUGUUACAGUGGGUGUUGAAGGAAAAAGGAGACGGUUACAUCUUAUUUUUUUUUUUUGUUCCAGGUUUGAAUGGAUACAUGAGAAAUAAUAUGGAAAAUGGGUAUUUUAAUAUUCUAUUUCAUUGGAGAAUGGUUAUUAAUAUAGACAUAGGUGAAUGAUGUGGUGGCAGGUUGAAUGUGAAUUGGAAAGUCAAGUUUUAGGUGAGAAAAAGAAGAUAGAAAAGAGAAAUGGGUAGAGAAUUAGGGUGUAAACUCACUGUGACACGUUGCAGUAUUAAUGGAAUAAAAGUUUUGGAGUGUUAUGGAGAAUGAAGAGUGAUGUACGAAAUGGAUAAAGUUUGUGAUUGGGAAAGUUGUAAAUGGUGGGCCAUGAGUGGUUAAAACAAGUGAGGUAGAGAUAUAUGGAUGGGUUGUUUAUUCAGGGGAUGGAAUUUUGCAUAGAAGUUACAUGGGAAGAAAGAUAUAAGGUUUUAUAAAACAAAAAGGGGAAGAGGGAGUUAAAAGAAAAAAAAAAAAAAACAAAGUUGCUGGAAUGAGAAAAGGUAAGAUAAUGUAUGAUAUUAAUAUGUUAAUAUAAAGUAUAUAUAUAUAAAAGCUGCAGGAAUUUUGUAUGUUAACAAAUUAUAUUAAUAUAAUAUAGUUAUAAAUAUAUAGUAGUAACAGUAUGAUAUUAACUUAGUACGUAUUAUAUUAAAUGGUAUUAAUAUAAUAUAGUUAUAUAUAUAAAAUUAGUAAGUACGUAUGAUAUAGAUUAUGUUAAUAUAUAUAUAUAUAUAUAUAUAUAUAUAUAUAUAUAUAUUUGUUUAUUUAUUUAUAAGGUAUGUAUAAAUUGAUGUAUU